GACGAACGCUGGCGGCGUGCUUAACACAUGCAAGUCGAACGGAAAGGCCCUGCUUUUGUGGGGUGCUCGAGUGGCGAACGGGUGAGUAACACGUGAGUAACCUGCCCUUGACUUUGGGAUAACUUCAGGAAACUGGGGCUAAUACCGGAUAGGAGCUCCUGCUGCAUGGUGGGGGUUGGAAAGUUUCGGCGGUUGGGGAUGGACUCGCGGCUUAUCAGCUUGUUGGUGGGGUAGUGGCUUACCAAGGCUUUGACGGGUAGCCGGCCUGAGAGGGUGACCGGCCACAUUGGGACUGAGAUACGGCCCAGACUCCUACGGGAGGCAGCAGUGGGGAAUAUUGCACAAUGGGCGGAAGCCUGAUGCAGCAACGCCGCGUGCGGGAUGACGGCCUUCGGGUUGUAAACCGCUUUCGCCUGUGACGAAGCGUGAGUGACGGUAAUGGGUAAAGAAGCACCGGCUAACUACGUGCCAGCAGCCGCGGUGAUACGUAGGGUGCGAGCGUUGUCCGGAUUUAUUGGGCGUAAAGGGCUCGUAGGUGGUUGAUCGCGUCGGAAGUGUAAUCUUGGGGCUUAACCCUGAGCGUGCUUUCGAUACGGGUUGACUUGAGGAAGGUAGGGGAGAAUGGAAUUCCUGGUGGAGCGGUGGAAUGCGCAGAUAUCAGGAGGAACACCAGUGGCGAAGGCGGUUCUCUGGGCCUUUCCUGACGCUGAGGAGCGAAAGCGUGGGGAGCGAACAGGCUUAGAUACCCUGGUAGUCCGCGCUGUAAACGGUGGGUACUAGGUGUGGGGUCCAUUCCACGGGUUCCGUGCCGUAGCUAACGCUUUAAGUACCCCGCCUGGGGAGUACGGCCGCAAGGCUAAAACUCAAAGGAAUUGACGGGGCCCCGCACAAGCGGCGGAGCAUGCGGAUUAAUUCGAUGCAACGCGUAGAACCUUACCUGGGUUUGACAUGGAUCGGGAGUGCUCAGAGAUGGGUGUGCCUCUUUUGGGGUCGGUUCACAGGUGGUGCAUGGCUGUCGUCAGCUCGUGUCGUGAGAUGUUGGGUUAAGUCCCGCAACGAGCGCAACCCUUGUUCACUGUUGCCAGCACGUUAUGGUGGGGACUCAGUGGAGACCGCCGGGGUCAACUCGGAGGAAGGUGGGGAUGACGUCAAGUCAUCAUGCCCCUUAUGUCCAGGGCUUCACGCAUGCUACAAUGGCUGGUACAGAGAGUGGCGAGCCUGUGAGGGCGAGCGAAUCUCGGAAAGCCGGUCUCAGUUCGGAUUGGGGUCUGCAACUCGACCUCAUGAAGUCGGAGUCGCUAGUAAUCGCAGAUCAGCAACGCUGCGGUGAAUACGUUCCCGGG
rnacentral:rRNA from 1 species